UACGGAGGGGACGAGCGUUGUCCGAAGUUACUGGGCGUAAAGCGCGCGUAGGCGGGGAGGUAAGUCCGCUGUGAAAGCCCGGAGCUCAACUCCGGAGGGUCGGUGGAUACUGCUUCUCUUGAAGGGGCUCGGGGGAGAUGGAAUUACCGGUGUAGCGGUGAAAUGCGUAGAUAUCGGUAGGAACACCAGUGGCGAAGGCGGUCUCCUGGGGCUCACUUGACGCUGAGGCGCGAAAGCCAGGGGAGCAAACGGG
rnacentral:rRNA from 1 species